GUUUUGGUGCCCUUUCCUGGAGAAGCCGAAAGGAACGGGCUCACCGUUCCUGGCGGUGAGUACCUACGCGCAUCGCCCUACGUCUCUGCGUAGCUGCUGGGUUUAAAAGGCGAAAGGUAGGCAAAGUUAUUAACCACGCGCCGUUACACCAAUUCCCCCCCACACUCUUUUUUUUUUCAAUUUCCCCCAGACCGAAACCCUCCCACACACUGACAGUAAGGGUAUGUUACUGCACUCUCAGUACCAGGUACCUCCGUUAGAGAGCGAGCGCUGUGGGAGCCAAAUGAGGUGUCCUGGAUUCCUGCGGGCAACGCUUUCCAUGCCUCUCUCACCGAGGAGAGUCGUUCGGGCUGAGUAAUGCCACCCUAAGCGUGCGCCCGGGAGCGUGUGGCUUCGGCAGAAAGCAUCCAGCGUCCGUUGAGGCGAAGCUGCAAGAAGGACGACGUUGCCUUCGGUCAAAUGAACGGCGUGGAAGGUGGCCCGGCACCUGGCAAAGCGGCGAAUGCGAGAGAGAGAAAUACAGUUUCUGAAGCAAAGUAUAACGAACUGCUGGCAGGGAUUUCUCACCUACAUAAAACCAUCCUUGUGUUCUGCUCAAACAACAGACGAGGGAAGACUGCUCAGAGAGCGCGUGUUCGUUUAUAAACUGCCCAAGGAUGCGCUCUCAUGCCGUGCCCGCUGCAAGAGAGAGCAGCCUCCUCCCCGGAGUGAAACACUUCGACUGAAGUCAGUGUGCAUAACCGGCGGGAAAGACCCGACGGAGAGGAGGAGACGGGGUAUUACGGAAGGUGCAGCUAGAAUAAGUUUGUGUCUGCCACUAAUGACUACAGUAGCAAUUGAACAUACUGUAGACGGACAACGAUGCGCAGCAACUGAAAAUCAGAAAUAUGACUACACUUUGAAACCAGAAGCACAAUUCAAAGUAGGCUGGCAGAAACUUAAUUAUGUAUUAAGCCUCAAACAGCAUCAAAUCCUAGCGCGUAACAGAAGAAUCCAGGCGCAGAAGUACACAAACCGGGCAAGCUAA
rnacentral:lncRNA from 1 species